UUUACAUAGCAGUGUGCUAUUCCAAAAAGGAAGAGGAAGGGCUACUGAGAAGACGGUACCCUACUCAUUGCAUCCAUGACUUGGGAAUCUGUAGGGAAAGAAAUUGAGGAUGAUGGGGCAAAGUUAUUAGCUAUAGCUGGUUGUUGGAGCAGCACUGAUCUUUCUGUCACCACUGUCACAAUGCUUCCUUGGCCUUAAGAACCUUUGGAAAGGGGGCACUCCUUCCUUCUUGCAGACCUGAGAAACACAAGUCAUUGAUCUUCAAUCAACUAAAAGAUUGAUUUUGAGCAAAAGGUACUUCCUCCAGGCUGACAAGAUUUAGCUGAAAUGAGGAAUAUAAAUACAGUAUCUAGUAGCUGAGUAAAUACCCUUGGUUGAAUUAUGUCUUCCAAUUCUGUGACUUUCCAAUUUUUCUCUUGGGAGCCCUCCAACAUCGAGGCCUCCAAACACUUCUAGGGCUAAACCUUUAGCUAAACCUAUGCCCUGAGGCUGUUUUUUGUUUGUUUCGCUUUUGUGUUUUGGGGGGAAAAGAAGGGACAUUUUUGAAUUAAUGUAUGAUCUAAAGUAGCAAUUCUCAAUCUUGAUAUUUAAAAAUAAACUCAU